AGUCGUAACAAGGUAGCCGUAGGGGAACCUGCGGUUGGAUCACCUCCUUACCUGAAGAACCUGCCUUUGUAGUGUCCACACAGAUUGUCUGAUGAAAAAUAAGCAGUAAAGAAUCUCUGCAGGCUUGUAGCUCAGGUGGUUAGAGCGCACCCCUGAUAAGGGUGAGGUCGGUGGUUCAAGUCCACUCAGGCCUACCAAAUUCGCCUCCGGACUGCGUUAUGGCAACGCUCGCAUACAGCAGUAUGCUUCGUGUUACCACGCCUUGCCCGGAAACGAAUUAGGGUACAGAGAUUCAGUAUUACGAUGGGGUUAUAGCUCAGCUGGGAGAGCGCCUGCCUUGCACGCAGGAGGUCUGCGGUUCGAUCCCGCAUAGCUCCACCAUCCUUUUACUGCUGAAAACAAGAAAACUUCAGAGUGUACCUGAAAAGGUGUGCUGCGAAGUUUUGCUCUUUAAAAAUCUGGAUCAAGCUGAAAAUUGAAACGACACACUGUGUCUGCUCUCCGUAAUAAGAGCAGGUAAGCGGUGUGUUCGAGUCUCUCAAAUUUUCGCAACACUGCGGGUGUUUUACGAAACAUCUUCGGGUUGUGAGGUUAAGCGACUAAGCGUACACGGUGGAUGCCUUGGCAC
rnacentral:misc_RNA from 1 species